rnacentral:rRNA from 1 species
CCCGCACAAGCAGCGGAGCGUGUGGUUUAAUUCGAUGCAACGCGAAGAACCUUACCAAGGCUUGACAUGCCAGAAGUAGGAACUCGAAAGAGAGACCACCUGUAUCCAGUCAGGAACUGGCACAGGUGCUGCAUGGCUGUCGUCAGCUCGUGCCGUGAGGUGUUAGGUUAAGUCCUGCAACGAGCGCAACCCUCGUCGCUAGUUAAAUUUUCUAGCGAUACUGCCCGUAAAACGAGGAGGAAGGUGGGAUGACGUCAAGUCAGCAUGGCCCUUACGCCUUGGGCUACACACACGCUACAAUGGGUGAUACAACGGGUUGCGAGAGAGCGAUCUGGAGCUAAUCCCUAAAAUCAUCCUCAGUUCGGAUUGCAGGCUGAAACUGCCUGCAUGAAGUUGGAGUUGCUAGUAACCGCAGGUCAGCACACUGCGGUGAAUACGUUCUCGGGCCUU